rnacentral:lncRNA from 1 species
CGCCCUCUUUGAGCUUGUUUGGGGACCCAGCAAGUUGAUUAAAAUUGUGAUGAAUACUGAACUUCUCUACUCCUCAGAGUCAUCAGUAAAAUAGGACUUCUCAAAUUUAGCAUCUUGAAUCCUGGAUCAAAAGACUUAAAUAAGGAAACCAACUUUCUUUACAUGAGCUCACUGUAAGAUGUACUGAGGAGGAGGCUUUACACAAUAUGAAAGAUACAGAUUUGCCCAAAGAGAAAUCACAGCAUGACUAUCUUGAUGCUUUCUUUAGAAAAGGAUUAAACUUAGUGUUCCAUGAGCAAGCUGUGCCUAGGCCCCUUGUAACCACGGCUAGAGCUGGGGCAGCUGGAAUGCAGUGCUCCAUGUCCCAAGACUGCACAGAGCAGCAGGGCCCUGUGCCUGGCCCAGGAAACCAUGUUUCCCUCACAGACCUCCAGGCCUGUG